UGGGGUGUCGCCAAGUGGUAAGGCAGCGGACUUUGAAUCCGCCAUCCCAGGUUCGAAUCCUGGCACCCCAG
rnacentral:tRNA from 1 species